rnacentral:rRNA from 1 species
CCUACGGGUGGCAGCAGUGGGGAAUAUUGCACAAUGGGCGCAAGCCUGAUGCAGCCAUGCCGCGUGUAUGAAGAAGGCCUUCGGGUUGUAAAGUACUUUCAGCGGGGAGGAAGGUGUUGUGGUUAAUAACCGCAGCAAUUGACGUUACCCGCAGAAGAAGCACCGGCUAACUCCGUGCCAGCAGCCGCGGUAAUACGGAGGGUGCAAGCGUUAAUCGGAAUUACUGGGCGUAAAGCGCACGCAGGCGGUCUGUCAAGUCGGAUGUGAAAUCCCCGGGCUCAACCUGGGAACUGCAUUCGAAACUGGCAGGCUAGAGUCUUGUAGAGGAUGGUAGAAUUCCAGGUGUAGCGGUGAAAUGCGUAGAGAUCUGGAGGAAUACCGAUGGCGAAGGCAGCCAUCUGGCCUAAUACUGACGCUGAGGUACGAAAGCAUGGGGAGCAAACAGGAUUAGAUACCCGUGUAGUC